rnacentral:rRNA from 1 species
GGUUAAGCGACUAAGCGUACACGGUGGAUGCCCUGGCAGUCAGAGGCGAUGAAGGACGUGCUAAUCUGCGAUAAGCGUCGGUAAGGUGAUAUGAACCGUUAUAACCGGCGAUUUCCGAAUGGGGAAACCCAGUGUGAUUCGUCACACUAUCAUUAACUGAAUCCAUAGGUUAAUGAGGCGAACCGGGGGAACUGAAACAUCUAAGUACCCCGAGGAAAAGAAAUCAACCGAGAUUCCCCCAGUAGCGGCGAGCGAACGGGGAGGAGCCCAGAGCCUGAAUCAGUGUGUGUGUUAGUGGAAGCGUCUGGAAAGGCGCGCGAUACAGGGUGACAGCCCCGUACACAAAAAUGCACAUACUGUGAGCUCGAUGAGUAGGGCGGGACACGUGGUAUCCUGUCUGAAUAUGGGGGGACCAUCCUCCAAGGCUAAAUACUCCUGACUGACCGAUAGUGAACCAGUACCGUGAGGGAAAGGCGAAAAGAACCCCGGCGAGGGGAGUGAAAAAGAACCUGAAACCGUGUACGUACAAGCAGUGGGAGCCUCUUUAUGGGGUGACUGCGUACCUUUUGUAUAAUGGGUCAGCGACUUAUAUUCUGUAGCAAGGUUAACCGAAUAGGGGAGCCGAAGGGAAACCGAGUCUUAACUGGGCGUUAAGUUGCAGGGUAUAGACCCGAAACCCGGUGAUCUAGCCAUGGGCAGGUUGAAGGUUGGGUAACACUAACUGGAGGACCGAACCGACUAAUGUUGAAAAAUUAGCGGAUGACUUGUGGCUGGGGGUGAAAGGCCAAUCAAACCGGGAGAUAGCUGGUUCUCCCCGAAAGCUAUUUAGGUAGCGCCUCGUGAAUUCAUCUCCGGGGGUAGAGCACUGUUUCGGCAAGGGGGUCAUCCCGACUUACCAACCCGAUGCAAACUGCGAAUACCGGAGAAUGUUAUCACGGGAGACACACGGCGGGUGCUAACGUCCGUCGUGAAGAGGGAAACAACCCAGACCGCCAGCUAAGGUCCCAAAGUCAUGGUUAAGUGGGAAACGAUGUGGGAAGGCCCAGACAGCCAGGAUGUUGGCUUAGAAGCAGCCAUCAUUUAAAGAAAGCGUAAUAGCUCACUGGUCGAGUCGGCCUGCGCGGAAGAUGUAACGGGGCUAAACCAUGCACCGAAGCUGCGGCAGCGACACUAUGUGUUGUUGGGUAGGGGAGCGUUCUGUAAGCCUGUGAAGGUGUACUGUGAGGUAUGCUGGAGGUAUCAGAAGUGCGAAUGCUGACAUAAGUAACGAUAAAGCGGGUGAAAAGCCCGCUCGCCGGAAGACCAAGGGUUCCUGUCCAACGUUAAUCGGGGCAGGGUGAGUCGACCCCU